UGGGGAAUAUUGCACAAUGGGCGAAAGCCUGAUGCAGCAACGCCGCGUGAGUGAUGAAGGUCUUCGGAUUGUAAAGCUCUGUCUUUUGGGACGAUAAUGACGGUACCAAAGGAGGAAGCCACGGCUAACUACGUGCCAGCAGCCGCGGUAAUACGUAGGUGGCGAGCGUUGUCCGGAUUUACUGGGCGUAAAGGGUGCGUAGGCGGAUGUUUAAGUGAGAUGUGAAAUACCCGGGCUUAACUUGGGUGCUGCAUUUCAAACUGGAUAUCUAGAGUGCAGGAGAGGAGAAUGGAAUUCCUAGUGUAGCGGUGAAAUGCGUAGAGAUUAGGAAGAACACCAGUGGCGAAGGCGAUUCUCUGGACUGUAACUGACGCUGAGGCACGAAAGCGUGGGUAGCAAACAGGAUUAGAUACCCUGGUAGUCCACGCCGUAAACGAUGAGUACUAGGUGUAGGAGGUAUCGACCCCUUCUGUGCCGCAGUAAACACAUUAAGUACUCCGCC
rnacentral:rRNA from 1 species